ACCCAGACUCCUACGGGAGGCAGCAGUGGGGGAUAUUGCACAAUGGGGGAAACCCUGAUGCAGCGACGCCGCGUGAGCGAUGAAGUAUUUCGGUAUGUAAAGCUCUAUCAGCAGGGAAGAAAAUGACGGUACCUGACUAAGAAGCCCCGGCUAACUACGUGCCAGCAGCCGCGGUAAUACGUAGGGGGCAAGCGUUAUCCGGAUUUACUGGGUGUAAAGGGAGCGUAGACGGCAGCGCAAGCCAGGAGUGAAAGCCCGGGGCCCAACCCCGGGACUGCUCUUGGAACUGCGCGGCUGGAGUGCAGGAGGGGCAGGCGGAAUUCCUGGUGUAGCGGUGAAAUGCGUAGAUAUCAGGAGGAACACCGGUGGCGAAGGCGGCCUGCUGGACUGCGACUGACGGUGAGGCGCGAAAGCGUGGGGAGCAAACAGGAUUAGAUACCCCAGUA
rnacentral:rRNA from 1 species